CGAAGCUAUAACGGUACACAUGUUGCUGUCGGAAAACGCGAGCGGUCCAAGUGGAAAUAUACAGACGGCGUGUCUCUGGCUCAUUAGAAGAAACUAGCCAGAAUAAACUGGC